rnacentral:misc_RNA from 1 species
GAUGAAGAACGUAGCGAAAUGCGAUAAGUAAUGUGAAUUGCAGAAUUCAGUGAAUCAUCGAAUCUUUGAACGCAUCUUGCGCUCCUUGGUAUUCCUUGGAGCAUGCCUGUUUGAGUAUCAUGAGCAAAUCUCAAAGUCAAUUCCUUUUGUUGAUUCAAUUGGUUUUGCUUUGGACUUGGAGGCCUUGCAGAUUUCACAGUCUGCUCCUCUUAAAUGCAUUAGCUGGAUCUCAGUAAUUAUGCUUGGUUCCACUCGGCGUGAUAAGUAUCACUCGCUGAGGACACUGUUAAAAAGGUGGCCAGGAAAAUACUGAUUGAACCGCUUCUAACGGUCUAUUAAGUUAGACAAUUACCCUUAAGUUUGAUCUCAAAUCAGGUAGGGCUACCCGCUGAACUUAAGCAUAUCAAUAAGCGGAGGA